GACGAACGCUGGCGGCGUGCCUAAUACAUGCCAGUCGAGCGGACGGAUGGGAGCUUGCUCCCAGACCGUCAGCGGCGGACGGGUGAGUAACACGUGGGCAACCUGCCUGUAAGACUGGGAUAACUCCGGGAAACCGGGGCUAAUACCGGAUAACUCUUUCCCUCACAUGAGGGAAAGCUGAAAGAUGGCAUCUCGCUAUCACUUACAGAUGGGCCCGCGGCGCAUUAGCUAGUUGGUGAGGUAACGGCUCACCAAGGCGACGAUGCGUAGCCGACCGGAGAGGGUGAUCGGCCACACUGGGACUGGGACACGGCCCAGACUCCUACGGGAGGCAGCAGUAGGGAAUCUGCCGCAAUGGACGAAAGUCUGACGGAGCAACGCCGCGUGAGUGAUGAAGGUUUUCGGAUCGUAAAACUCUGUUGUCAGGGAAGAACAAGUACCGGAGUAACUGCCGGUACCUUGACGGUACCUGACCAGAAAGCCACGGCUAACUACGUG
rnacentral:rRNA from 1 species